GCUGGCGCCGCACGAAAGUUUGCGGCGGGGCCGGGCCGGGCCGGGCCGGGGCCGCAGCGGCGGGAUGGACGCGCUCAAGUCCGCGGGUCGCGCUCUGCUGCGGAGCCCCAGCGUCCACAAACCGUCCUGGGUCGGCGGCCGACACAAGAAGCUCCCAGAGAACUGGACAGACACCCGCGAGACGCUGCUGGAGGGGAUGCUCUUCAGCCUCAAGUACAUGGGCAUGACACUGGUGGAGCAGCCCAAGGGAGAGGAGCUCUCUGCGGCCGCCGUCAAACGCAUCGUCGCCACCGCAAAAGCAAGUGGGAAGAAACUGCAGAAAGUGACUCUGAAAGUCUCACCGAGAGGAAUUGUGUUAAAUGACAGUGGAACAAACGAGCUGAUCGAGAAUGUCUCCAUAUACAGGAUAUCCUACUGCACAGCAGACAAGAUCCACGAUAAAGUGUUUGCCUACAUUGCCCAGAACCAGCUCAAUGAGAACCUGGAGUGUCAUGCCUUCCUCUGUACCAAACGGAAAAUGGCACAAGCAGUCACCCUCACUGUCGCCCAGGCCUUCAAAAUCGCGUUUGAGUUCUGGCAAGCAGCUAAGGAAGAGAAGGAGAAGUGGGAAAGGUCCAUCUUGGAAGGAGAAGGGAUGAGCAGCCCCAGCUCAGAAGCUCCUGCCCACCCUGACACAUCAGCAGCCACGGGGAACUUGCUGGAUUUAGAAGAUCCUGACAAAUCGCCCCUGACCAGCAGCACAGACUCCCCACACUUGGAUAACAGCGUGUUUGGGCCCAGCUCCUCUGUAAAUAACAACGUGGUGUGGGAAAUGGAUGAUGGUCUGGACGAGGCAUUUUCAAGACUGGCUCAGUCAAGAACAAACCCUCACGUCCUUGACACGGGACUGACAGCUCAAGACAUCCAGAGUGCAGAAACACUUUCCCCUGUAGACUGGAACAAAAUAGAUUCCAAAGCAGAUGAGAAAGAUGAUCUGUUCAUGUUUUGAGGUCAAAUGCAUCUAAGAGCUGACAAGAGAAUAACCACUAAAAGUCUAUGGACUGAAUCGUGCUGUUCGGGUGCUGUACACAAGGGACUCUCCUGAGGGCUCUUCACCAAGUCAGAUGAUGUUACAGCACAGUUUAGACCAAAGCUUUAGAAAUCCAAUGCAGAUUUUUGUACCUUGCUUUUAUCUAAACCACAAAAUGCUCUUGAACAUAUUUAUUCAUAGCAGUUACAGUUUACACGUAUUAUUGGAAGGUGUGUAGAGCAUCUACAGUAUUAUGUGGCAAUAUACCACAGAAGAACCUUCAGCAGUGCCUGUUCCCCUCUGAAAAAAGACUAUGCAACACCAAAGUCUGUCUCUCUCUCUACUUUUCUAGACAAAGGUCUGCAGAUGCAAAUGCGAUUGCAAGCACAAUUGUUAUUAAUGCACUGUUUCUUGAACAACACAUCACCUGCCUAGGCGAGGGGAGGAGAUUUGCAGCAGCUGCUGACAGUGUGAAAAUCAAAGAGGUAGCAGAACUCUUGCUUUUGUUGUGAAUGUCUGUGAUACUUUCACAGUUGUCAGUCACCCUGACAGGAGCUGGCUGUUUCUCUGCCAGCAUCGUAUGGGAAUUGACACUUUUUUACCCAAAGACUCUAUGAAGUUUUGCACUUUAAAACUUGAACUGAAAGCAAUGGUCCGAAUUGUCAAGGUAAGCAGUGCCUGUAACUUCUCUUCUGAAGCUAUUUACCCAAAAACCCCCCAGCCCCACAAUGCUGCGGGUCUCUUUCAGAGCUGACUCCUCAUGUGCACUGUUUCUGAUGCAACUCAGAACCCUGAGGCUCCGUGGCACUGUUGGCUUUAAAAGCAAAACCACAAGGGAGUAAGAAUUUGUUUUGCUGAAGCGUGUUGAAAGUCACAGGUUGAGUGAACCCAGAAGCACAAUAGAUCUGUGUUCUUCGCUCUGCUAAGUGGAUUUAGCUGUGCAUGCCUUUUUACUGUCUCAAAACCAUUUGGUUGUUGCUCACUCAAUAGACUCAAAUGGAAUUGGAUUAGGCAAGACCAAUACCUGGAUGUUCAAUUAGCAGGAGGUGCCCCUUCCCGCAGUACUCCAGCCCUCUCCCCGCCGACAGCUGCAGCUCCUGUGAGGCUUGGGGAGCUGCCUUCAGCUGCUCCUGGAAUUGAAAAUAAGUAAUGGAGAUAUAAAGCUUAUGCUAAUUAAAAGAUUAAGUUUAAUGAUCCUAAAUAGUCACACUGUCAGUUUGCAGUGUUUGUGGCCUUAUGUGAAGUAUACUAAUCUGUUUUAUAGAUUUGUAACUUGGUUUUGAAACACUAAUUCAUUCCCCAGAUAGCUCUUUAUAGCCCUCUUAAAACUGCUUGCAGGAAAAAAAAAAAGACAAAAAGAAGAAAAACCUCUUUGUCAGCUGCAAGAAUUUAUUAGGAAACAGCUGAGUGACUCUCACUUAGAUUUGAUUUUUUCCCCAAGUAUUACUGUGGUAAGGUAUCGAGGGCUUGUGAAGCUGACUCAUCACAUCUCUUCACAAAAUGUGUGCUCUGUUUAUCCUACAAAAUUGCAUUUGGAGCAAUUUCACAUCUUGAAACUACUGUGCCCACGACUGACCUGAUCUUCUGUGUCACAUCAGUCUCGCAGUUCCUCGGUUGGCCCCUGACACAGAGACACAGAUGGAGGUGUGACCCUGGCCUGGGGUGAUGCCAGAACCACGCAGCCGUGGCUGUAGUGUGCCUGGUCCCGGUCCCACAGGGCCAUCCUAGGAAGGAGCCUGGGCUGUAGGAAUGGACCAUGAGAGACUUUCUCUGUAUAUUGAUCGUUUGCAGACACCCUGGGAGCACAUUCUGACAUGCACAACACUGAUAUUAAGCGAUGGGAAGCACCUGCAGGAGGUCCUGUCGAGGCCACGUCCAGGUGGAAGAUUGCUGCAGUUGGACACAAGUCUGUGGUGCUGCCUCCAGGAAAUGCUUGUGGGACUGGAUGUGGCCAUGUGGGAUGCACAGAGGGAUGCACAGCAGCUCUGCUCCCUCUUGGGAUGUGACUGUUGUAGCCAAGCUGAGAAAAUCCGUCCCAACCUGAGCCCCCACUUCGCCGCCUUGGCCUCCAGGUAAGUGUGUGGCAAUCGGUGAGAAGAGGGAGGGUGGUCUGCAGAUGAACCUGGUGCUAGUGACAUCAAAACCUAAAGUGUCUUAAUUGAUAGUUUCUGAGUCGCUGGGCAAAGUGCUUCUCCUUUGAGGGGAGUUUAUGUUGUACAGCUGCCUUUUAAAUAAGAACAGCCCAGAGAGCCUGGCGCUGCCCCUCCACCUCCCCCAGCAGCUUCUGCCUUUGCUGUCUGUGAGCUUGGGGCAGCCACAGGCUGAUCGUGCUGCUCACACCCCUCUGGGAAGCACAGGCAGAACAUCGUUUGGAGAUGCUGACAGGUGUAACUCCUGUGUACCACCACACUGCCCUUGGGACAUCAGAGCCGGGCUGUGGGCAGAGCAAGGGGCUUUGCAGAGAUAACUUCCCACAGUGUAAGAUUGACCAAAAGAGAAAUAAUCAAAAGCAUUUUUGUUAAAAUGGUGUGUGCCAGUGUGAGGAGGUGUCCCACACUGAGUUCUGAGUACCAUCACUGCGCCUUCAUGCUUAACUGGACUCCCAGUUACUGUGUGACCUUUUAUAAGUGCCAGUUAAACUUUGAGCAUCCAUUUCCUUCACCUUUGAUGGCUGUGUGCUUGAGAGGGAGGGAGGGAGGAGCUUGCAGUGAUGAUCUCAGGAGAAGGCAGGUGCCUGCUCGGGGCUGCAGCAGCAAUGGGGGCUGAGGCAGCUGCUGCCUUUGCUCACCCAGACACCCCUUUCUCAGGGGGAUGUGGAGCGACUUCACUGCCUGUUUUCCUCCCUGGGAGCAGCCAGAGCAGCAGUGGUGGCACGGGCUGUGCUGUGAAAUGCUGGUGUGUCACCCUGCCUUGGCACAGGGUGUAUAUAGGGUGUAAUGACUCCAUCCAUCCUAUGGCCGGUAGCCAGCAUGGGCGAGGAAGCUCCCUCAGCCUGUCUUCAGUCUCUCUUGAAAUCACCGGCAAAAGAAAUAAAACCUACAGUUCAGAGAUAAUUUUUCUAACUGCUGUAGCUGUAACUCAUUACAGUCAUUUAAUGCAACCCCCAAACUGCAACAAAAACCCAGCUUGUUGCUGCCAAGUUACAGGAUGGGUUUUAAAUGUAGACGUGGAGUUGAUGGAGCGUCGCCGUUUCCUCUCUCCGAGUGCUCCCAGUCGAUGGCCACUGGUGCUGUGUGAGCCGAGGCCAAAUCCAGCUCCCAGGUUACAAACUGUCUGGCCUGGGGAAGCGCUGAGCUGUUGAGGAUGGCAGUAUGCUGUGCAGCAGGUCCUGAGCUCUGAGCUGCCCUCUUCAUGGAGCAGCAGGAGAGUUUGUGGAUUCGCGCUGAGCUGUGGGGCUGCUGUUACCCAGGUCACUCUCUUUUAAAGCACAAAUAAAGAGAGCAAUGUUUCAUCUGAA